rnacentral:lncRNA from 1 species
AAAUUUUCCUAUAAACUUUAUACCUAGUUAAAUUAAUUUAAAAAUUUAGGCUAAAUUACAGAAAACCCCCCUGUCAAAACCCGAUUUUUUACUUUCCCUCCCUAUCAUUUAAAAACCUACACUUUACUCCCUUAUAAAAUGAAAAAUGUGCACUUCACUUCCUACCGUUAGUGAUCCGUUAGGGUUUCGUUAUAAAAUAUUUUUUUAUGCCCAAAACACCCUUCCGCCCUCUUUCCUGUUGCUUCGCCUCCCUUCGGCUCGCCGCCUCGCCGCCUCCUCGCCGUCUCGCCCUCCUCUACUGCCUUGCCCUCGCCCUCGUCCAUAUCCCCUUCGCCUUCCUCUGCCGCCUCACCUUCGCUCUCCUUGCCCUUGCCUACCUCUCCAUCAGCGCCCACCUCGAUUUCCUCCCUACUGUCGCCGAAAUCGAGGGCUGGCGAGGGUAUAGGAGAAGAAGGGAAGCAGGUGGAGAAGAAAAUGGAGAGAAAUCGCGGCCGAUUAAGGUGUGAAUCGCGGCCGAUCGAGGCGGCGGUUGAGGAAGAUGAGAGAGGAGACGAAAAUGGUGAGUGGCAAAAUAGUCAUUUCACACACCGUAUCCUCCCGUGAAUAUUUUUUAUUUUACAAGAGGGCAAAGUGUAGGUUUUAAAUGACAAGGGGGAAAGUGAAAAAUCGGAUUUUGAUAUGUGAGUGCUAUGUAAUUUAGCCAAAGAUUUAUAUAUUUAGUAGAUAAGGAGUGUGACGGAAUAUUUAGAAUGAAAUAUAAUAUUCGAUCUUUAAAAUAUUUUUUAGAAUAAAAUAAAUCAGUAUGCAUGUGAAAUAUGUUAUUCUAAUAAAUUACGAAUAGUAAGGCCUUUAAAGAAGCUGAAAUUAAGUCCUUAUAGUCAUACUAGAAAAUUUCUAUGCAUCGAAUAAGUAUCCAAUAUCCAAAUAUGACCUUACUGAUGGAUAUAAGAACAUGGUAAAAGACUUGAAUUUAAGACUUUGAAUUCAAGUCUUGAACACGGCUGAAAGUAAAAAUUUUAUAAAAAAUAAUGAUAAAAGAUUUGAAUUUAUGAUCAGAGAUACUGAUCUUACUCUAAAUAGUGAAGAGAAUUUUUUAUUAAAAUUUCAUCAGAUUUGUAUUGUUUAGCACUAUUAAAUUCACAAAAGCAUCACGUCGCCCUUUAAAAUUGUCAAUUUUGAGACCUUUUGAUUGCAAGUCAAAUAAUGUCGAAAAAUAUAAAAUUUGAUUUCUAAAUAUUUUCAAUAACGUAGAUCAAAUCUAACGGAGCUGAUUAUCGACUCAAAAGCCGAAUCAUCAAAAAUAACUUGGUAGCAGAGAGCUCUCCCUGCUACCAAUAAUAUAGUAGCCGGAC